GACAAAAGCAAAACAGCUGUAAGCAACCAAAAGACAAAGCGUAAAACUUUUCAAAACUAAAAAGCAGAAAAAGAAAACCUUGAGCCAAAACCAGCAGAACUCCAGCCCCAAUAUCAGCCAAACUCUCCUUACCCUUUGAAUUCCGAACCAUGUACAAUGAGAGAAAAAACUUUGGAUGAUCGUCUUCCAUUUCCAAAGUAAAUGAACUCAGCUCCUCUGGAACCAAGCCGAACAAUCCUUCAAUAUCGCCAUUCCGAAUCAGGCACUCCAUGGACCCAACUCCCUCAGACCUUUCGUUUCCUGCCCUACAUCGCCAGUGUGUAAGCCGCCUCAUUAGCCACUCAGGGGACAGCAAGGAAUCGCCUUCCACAAUCAAUCGUCGAAGGCACAUCUUGCUCGCAAAAAUUAAUGCCCUUUCACAAGCCCUUGCUUUAGCCACGAACGCGUCAACGAUAUCUUUAAAAAGAUAAGUUUCUGCUCCUAUAAUUUCACCUGUAGCAUUUCUGGCAAGAACUGCUAUUGUAGCGGUCUUCUCAUUUUUUACAAAAGAUGCGUCAAAAUUUAAUUUGAUAACUCCCUGGUCUGGGGGUCUCCAGAUCCCUUUAACCAUAGCUCUAGGAGCAGGAUAGAGUAGCAUGUGACAACGGCAAAUAUCUUGUUCAUAACCCCCAAUAAACCCUAACACCGCCUGCAUCGAAAAUUUAACUCCUUCAUGAACCAGUUUAUUUCUAUGAAACCAAAGGUUCCACAUGGAUAUUACAAUGAAUCUUUUUUGUUGGUCGUCUGCUGCAGAAAACAUAUUAGCAAAGCGAAGCUUGUUACGCAUCGACUCUUCGAAAGACGGGAUCUUUACUGGUAGCGACGCCCAUACCUGUUGCAGAGUAUCAUAAGACCACAUCAGGUGAUCAGAAUCUUCCAGCCCAUUCUUGCACAGUGGACAAGAUGCUUCCACACAAAGUCCUCCUCGCCAAAUUACCGAAAUGCGGCACCAGAUUAUUAACUAGUCUCCAAAUAAGUAUUUUAUUUUUUUCUGGAAUACUUAAUAACCAUAAAGCAUUGUAAAAAUCUGUGUAAACCACGUCAAUAGGGGCAUGUAAUUAGUAACCCGUAAGUGAUCUGCAAUCAGUACUCGAUACCCACUCUUGACCGUAUACUCCCUAGAACCUUUAUGUUUCCAGACCAACCUAUCCUCCGGUCUACUUUCAGAUAUGGGAAUAGCAAGUAUUCGAUCCGCUGUACUCUCAUCAACUAUCUUAUGAAUCAUCUCUCUAUUCCAGGUAGCCAAGGAUUGUUCCAGAUGUUAAUGUGGUCUCCCUUGCCAACCCGCCACAAAACCCCUUAUCCGAUCACCUCACGAGCACUGCAAAUACUUCUCCAGGUAAAUGAUGGGGCUGAUGAUUUGUAAAUUCUCUUUAUGAGAAUCAGUUUGUUAAUACUACAAUGGCCAAGCAUAGCUAUGAGAUCUGAGGGCUUUAUUAAUCAUUUAGACUUCGUCAUGCCAUUAUUGCUUUCUUUAGACAUGAUUUGCAUCCUGAUCAUACUCGUUUUCCCCUUAAUUUAAUUCAUAAUCAAGUAAUUACCAGUUUUCCUACAUGAGAAUUUUUAGGCUGCUGAUUUUGUUCUUUAGUGACUAUAUGGUUUGUAUGAUUAGUAAUAUUGUUUCACAUCGUGAUGGUUUGUAGCUUCAUUAAUCUAUGAAUUUGGUCAAUAUCUCUGAUAUAUCCUAUUUGUAAUGUAUGAAUCUUCCUCUUCUCGAAUUGAUGUUUUGGGAGCAUUAAACAUUUAGUUAAUUUGACAAAUUCUUGUGAACUUUUUCUUGUUUAACCUCUAUGUGUUUGUUAUCCGAUAGUACUUAAAGUAUCCCAUAUGCUAAUCCUUAGUGAAUCACUUAGGGUCAUUUGAAGCUUGAACCUAGCUAGUCAAUUGUAUCAGGAUACCACUUGUGAAGUAUAUGCUUAAUGAAUUCGAGAAGCUCUAGAAUAUGCUUGUUGAUGGAAGUUGUUGAUAUGGUAGUUCUUUUGUUUUUUAUGUUUCAUUUAAUUUGUGAAGACUUAGACUAAUAUUUUUGAAAACCACGAGCUUAGCUGUCAUUAAAUUAUGAUACUGAUGAAAUCCUAGUCUAUUAUGUUUCCUUUGAAUUUAAAUCUUCCAUUUAAGUUGUUUACUUUCUCAGUAGUCUUUACAUAUUUUUUUAGUUGUUUUAAGUCUGGUCUCACUUGCCCUGAGAUUAUUUGCUCAUUUUCCUGCACUGCCCGAUGAUGGAUGCUUUUGUGUACUUAGAGUUUGCUAUGGCAUUGUUGUUGACCUCCAUCCUUACUGCUAGUCAUCAUUGGUUUUGGCGCUUCUUCUUUGUCUUCUUCUUCUUCAUCAUCAUCAUCUUCUUCUUCUUCUUCUUCUUCUUGUUGCUGUUGUUGUUGCUGCUGCCAUUCCCAUUUCCAUUCCCAUUGCUAAUUAUCAUCUGUGGCCUUAUAGACUAUUGGUGGCGGUAGUAGUAGUGGAUGUAGAAAGGUCUUCAAUAAAAUUCCAUAGCAUCACCAUUGAUGAAUUGGUAGAAUCAUUGUGUUUUGACCUCUGAGGGCAUUGCAGGUUAUUUCAUCACAUUGACUCUUCGAAAGUCUAGUGUUUUGCUGAGUUAGUGACAUGUCUCAUUGCAACUUGCUAGGGUGGAUAUACUGCUUAGUUUUGUGCAAAGAGUUGGAUAUUUACCAAUUUAUCUUUACUUAUUACUAAAUCCUUAUGUCCACUAUUGUCAGCCUAAUUGAUGAAUUCAUGCUUAUUUUGUUGGACCGCCCCAAUCCUUUAUGAAAGUAUGGCUUCUAUAGGACUAAAGCCAUUUGCUACCCAGGAGAAGGCUGAAGCACCCAUUGGUUUUUUUUUGGCUAGAGAAGUGAGAACCAACCAAGAAUUGAAUUUUGGUCUUGUGUGCUCCUGCUUUGCUCAUUUAUAUAUUUGUUUUUGUUUAAAGCCUUUUGUGCUCCCAUGUACAAUGUUUAAUCCUUUCAAGUCUAAGAGAAAUCUAUAGUGUAAUGUUAUAAUAGCACAGGGUACGUAUAUGAACGAUAUGAACCCUGCAUUGUCAUUACUACUUGUCGGGGGUUAUCAUCCUUAGAAUUUUCAAACCUCCAUGUGGCUUUAAGCUUGUAAUUGGCAAUGGCGCUGAAAGUUUUUAAAUAUCGCAGUUUGAGAUAAA